CGCUUAUGGGUGCCGCCAUCAUUGAUUUCCAUGUGCGUCGCUGUCUUUCGCAUACACCGCGUGUGAAACUGAUCUUCCGUAGCACAAUCCUAGCAAAAGGCGGCUGCUGCUAGUAGCGAACGAUGGCGGACGAGGCCGGCGGCGGAGGAAACUCAGACUCUGACUUCGAGGACAUGGAUGACGGAGACAUCGAGGACGACGACAUGUCGGACGAAGGAGACGCGGGCACCGGUGUUGCAGCUGCCGGCGCAACAGAUCGUCGCGUUUACGUGCCUGGUACCACCACUGCGAACGAAGACGGCGAGGAACUUGAGUGCGAUCAGUCGGCCUACGUCGUCUAUCACCAGGCCACCACAAUUGCACCAUGUCUGAGCUUCGACAUCAUCAAGGACACCCUGGGGGACGACCGGGCCGACCACUUCCCACUGACUUGCUACCUUACCUCUGGCACCCAGGCCGAGCGAUCGCACUUGAAUCACCUCAUGGUGAUGAAGAUGAGCAACCUGAGUCGAAAUAAGGAGGCAUCGCAAAAGGACGCUGGCGACGACGAGGACAGCUCAGACAGUGAUGACGAAGACUCUAAACCAGAGCUCGAAACGGCUCUGGUCCCACACAACGGCUGUGUCAACCGUGUCAGGGUUGCGAGAGUCGGCGACAGGACCCUAGCAGCAUCGUGGUCGGAAAACCGUCGUGUCUACCUGUGGGACCUUGCUCGGCCAUUGCACGUGCUCGACCAUCCUUCGGCCAUGUCGUCAUAUGUGCGCAACCAUGAGGCUCCCAAGCCCAUCUUCAAUUUUGGAGGUCACCUAGCCGAGGGCUACGCUGUUGACUGGUCACCAACUAAACCCGGUGUGCUGGCGACGGGCGAUUGCCUCAAGAGCAUCCACCUGUGGAAGCCACAGGAAGGCAGCUGGCAUGUUGACCAGCGGCCCUACACGGCGCACACAGCAUCAGUUGAAGACAUUCAAUGGUCUCCCAACGAAGCCACGGUCAUGGCAUCGUGUUCGGUCGACAAGUCCAUAAGAGUGUGGGACGUGCGCGCGGCACCCCACAAAGCAUGCAUGCUCACGGCAGCGGAUGCCCACGAAGCCGAUGUCAACGUCAUUAGCUGGAAUCGACGAGAGCCUUUCCUCCUGUCUGGUGGCGAUGACGGUGCCAUUAAGGUCUGGGACCUGCGGACUUUUCAGGGUGGACGCCCCGUCGCCACCUUCAAGCACCACCUCGCUCCGAUCACAUCCGUCGAGUGGCAUCCGACAGACAGCACGGUCUUCUGCGCCAGCGGGAGCGACGACCAGCUCACCCUGUGGGACCUGGCCGUCGAGCGGGACCGCGACGCGGAAGGUGCCGCCGGGGACCAGGACAACGACGACGAGGUGUUGCAGGGACUGCCCCCACAGUUACUCUUCAUCCACCAGGGGCAGAAGGACAUAAAGGAAGCACACUGGCAUCCGCAGAUGCCCGGGCUGAUUCUUAGCACAGCGCAGAACGGCUUCAACGUGUUCCGGACUAUCAGUGUGUGAGAAGAUGUCACCAAGUGCAGUGCAGACUGCCUCACGGACUAGCUGGCAGCGACAAGUCGGAUGGUCUUGUCGUUCAUCUGGUAUAGCUACAUUGCGGUCAAUGUGUUACGUACGCCGAGCCCCAUGAUGCCUGCUUCAAGACUGUACAACUUGGCUUUCCUGAUGCUACCUUCUCCGAUAUAAGUUAACGUGCGAAUGAUUCGUAAGAUUAUCAUUGUAAUAAAUGGAGUUAGAUGGUGCAGUCCAAAUUUCCACUGGCAAAGAAUACUGUAUAAUCUUGUGUAAGGGCCACAACCUUUUUUUUUUUUGUGAAUUUGGGGCCGAAUAUUUUGGGUGUGGCACUUUCUUGAGUAGAAAUUUAAAGAGUGUGUAUUUAGUACUUAGAAAAACUGACGUGCGUGCUGCUGUGUGCAGCAGCCUUGGGGAGCCUUAACUUUAGCUUCAUUUGCUACCCCAUUUGUCAUGGUUGACACAAAACCACAGUGCUUCAACAAUUGAAAUCUGGUUCACUGCAAGUGCACUAUUACAAGAUGAAGAUGUCCCUGGACGUCAUGCUGCACAUAAGGUUGCGUGACGAAAAAUUAUUGCGAGGCUCUCGCGCAAAAUGCGAACAGAAUAUUUCGGUAAAUAAUGCCCCCCCUAUGUUUCAGGUGGCCCAGGAUCGACGAAAGCUAUCUGCUGAGACGUGAACAGUACGAGUGAAAUGUAGAGCUUGUGCACGACACAGUAAACGGUUUGUACAUGUGUGGCACAAACGUGUACGCUGAGUGUGACAAAACGAGCCAGGUGGCACCGGGAUGUGAAUUGUAUUGGUGCUUAGUUGAUGGACUUCCCUCGAACAGUCAAGUGCAAGAAGAAAUGUAUGCCUUUAUGCACCACAUCAUUACCACGCUGUUUUAAUGUAAACCUUUUCCCUGACGUGGUAUCGGACCUCGCGCCAUGCGUAAAUUUGCACAGCGUAAACAAUCUGAGGUUCUUGUGCAGAUGGAAUGUUGCAUUCGAUGACAUCCGCAUAGUUUUCUGAAGGUGUGGGAGCGAUGGCGCACAGCACGAAGUGCGGAAAGGCUUGGCGUAGACGGUGUGCACAAGGGGAGGCAGUAGUAGUAUACGAAAGGUGGCGUGGGUAGAAAGUGAGAAAGUGCAACGUCACGAUCUGUGGAGCACCGGGAAACAAGUUUUGUGAUGACACCAACAGUGAAGUUAUCGACGUUUGCUCCAAAGGGUUCAACUGCAAUUACAGCGAAAGGGGAGACCGAUAACGAAUAAAUUUCUUUUCUUAAACAUUUAGGCUUAAAUUUAGCGGUGCGGCCCUUACUCAAGAUUAUAAGGUAUACUCUUCAUGUUCAUGACUUCUUAGAGGCAAGAAAUUGCCACCUUAUCGUGUUUAUACUAGGGAAAGAAAUUUAGAGACUGCAUUGCCUACAUGUGACAGUCUGUAGUCAAAUUUCAACUUAAGAAUACUGUUGUGAAUACACUGCUGUCCAACUUGGAGAACUUUUAUAGACGUGUAUUCAGUCACAUCUAUGACAUUGCGGCGAACGCGAGCUCCUUUCUCUAUUGGUGUCCCUUGGGGACCUUGUUUUGGAUUGCGGAAGUGCAGAGGGCAGUAUGAUUUUGUGGGCAGUGCUUGCAAUAAUUUCUUCAGUUCUCAGUAGGGUUGCCAACUCUCGAGUGAACUAAGUCGAGACACAGAAAAGUGUGUGUGAGGGGGGGGGGCUGGCAGUGACCGAUCGUGUCAUUGUCAGGAGCUGUCAAGUUUGUACGUGCAGUAGUUUUUGCAAAAUUUUUUUUUAGUCCUGCAAUGUCGUUACAUGUGACAAGACAGAUGCAGUAGUUGCCUCACCCAGUUACCAGUGCAGUUAUUGUGAACGGUUAGGGCCUAGAACCACACCAAACACGAAACAGCCUUUAUAUUUAUGACAAUGCAACAGAAGACAAAAGAAAAGAAUGUGCAACCGAGCUGUCAGGCUUUAUAAAAAAAGGAAAUCUGGGCUAUUGAUAGCUAUUCAGUAGAAAAAAAUGUCGCAGUUUCUCCCGAAAGACGAAGCAUCGAUUGCGAUAGCAAAUUAGUAGAGAGCUAUUCGGGGUAGGGAUAGUAGUUUUAUCGGCUGCAUAAACUUGGACACAUUGGCUUACUAACUGAAUUAACAAUCAUGGUGUCAGCGCACACAAGCAAACAUGAAUAGAUCACACUGAAUAACCGCAGCCAACGACUGUCAAAACGCUGGCAGCAAGCGCAGGUUCGCGCGGUCUAUCGCUUCAACGGAAACUGAGCGGCGAAUGCACAGCGCAUAGAAAGGUCAGAGCCGUGUGGAGAUAAGAGACGGUGUGGACGACCGGCAUCCCCUGGCAAAGCGCAAAGGAGAAUCUGCCCCCCCCCCCCCCCUCUUCCCGCUUUGUUGCUUUUGCGUGGGAGAUUGAGUGGCAAGAUACGUCUUUGGUGCCGGAGCACAGCGCCGCCCCGCCUCCCUCCCUCCCAUACCCCCACGGUCUUUUGCGCGACGGUCACGUUUGCUUUCCGCCGAGCGUUCGCUUUCCGUGAUAGCGCGCGUGGGGGGGGGGGGGGGGUUCGCCCUCCGUGAUAGCGGGUGUCCCCCGCGCGCUUUCGCUGGCGCAUACGGUGCGCGGCGACGAUUUUAUCGCCAUUGGUAUCUAUACAGAACCUCACGGCGACGCUGACGGCAGAAAUCCAGUUGAAGUGUCCAUAUAAUUGCUAUCGCAAUAAAAAACGGAAAAGUCGGGUCAUUUCGUCGUCCCGAUUGAGUCAAGCCGGAUCGCAGGACGCUCAAAAGUCGGGACAGUUGGCAACUCUAGUUCUCAUAGAGUAUGAGAUACUUCUUUUUAAAAAGACCACAAUAGCCGGAAAAUGUAUUAUGUCUAUCUCGGGCCUGCUGCAAUUUCCGUAAAUGCAAACCAAAUUUUGUGCUGCUGUUUCACAGGCACCAAUCACGGAGGCUGCAAUUUUUGCAUUUGUGGGCACCUAGUGGAAGAUUGAAUUAUUCUUGGGAUUGGCUGAUGCAGUCUGCUUUGGUAAAAACAAAGUAAAACAAACUAUAAACAUUUUCGUCAAACACUUUUCACGUUUGAACGCGUUACUAUAUCAUAACAUAAGCAGGCAGGCCAUUGUUACGUAUCUCAUGAUCACAUUAUCAUUCAUUCCCCAUCCACACUGCAUGUGCGAUUUCAGACGACUUCAGGACCUCUGAACAGUAAAAGAUUGUAUGGACAAAGGAGACGACAAUAGAUUUGCCGCACCUGCGCAUUCCAAUUGCAAAAUUGCACUGUGUGAGACACAGGCCUUACGUGGACAUCGUGUUAGCACCACAGGGAUCGGGAUUUAGUGGCGCUUUUGUAACUGAAACGCACAAGUAAAAGAGCGUAUUGGCGAGGUUCUCUUGUAUAUUUCUAUUUCCUGUAUAAAUGUGCUUCGAUUUGUUAUUCUGUGAGCAGUUGUCUUAGGAAAUCAUCCUCCUUGCUAAUGCUGGGUCAUUGAUUGUAUGUCAACCAUUUAUGGAGCCCUAUCUGCAGAAAUAAAUUAUGAGCUGAACACACCAA